AUUCUAUAUAUUUUCUAAAUCAAGACUUUUUACACCCGUGAGGGCGUGAUGGUUUCUACCCCGGAGCGGUUCGAUGAGCCCGCAUGCUUCCUCUUCCCGUGGAACCGUCUCCUGGGAGCCAGGGGGACACAUGCCUUGCUCAAAGGGGGCACUUCCCUCCCGAUGUGGCAUCCAACCAGCAACCUUCAGGUUAACAGAUUUGUUUUUCUACCCUCCGGGCUCCAAGACAUCAUUUGAUCGACAAGUUAUGGAUCUGUUUACUGAUGUUCUCCCAAAGCCCCUCAUCCACGGUUCUACGACACCUGGACAUGGACCGGUGUGACCAGGUGGAAGGAACACACCUGUGUCUCAUGGACACACACACACACACACACCAGGAGACACGGGCAAAGUGAGGAGCACCUGGCGUUGGCUUGUGGAGAAUCCAAACUAUUAAAAACAUUUCUGGAUCUGCAAUAAAAUGGCAAAAAUGUCGUUGCCUACAGACUCGUGUUUGGAUGUGAUGACAACAUGAACACUCUAGAGUUCGGAGGUCAUUUGAGGUCACCUGGGUCGGCCUGCUGGACCCCGGAUGGGCAGGCUGAUGACGGACGGGUGUUCAGAAGAAGUGGACGUAGUCAUGGUGAUGCCACCCAGUAGUUGGUGGACUGGUGUUUUGGAAGCCUGGAAGUUUGGCAAUUUCGCCGUCGCUAUCUUGGAUUACAGCCAAUGAUGUCAUUUAGUUUGACCAUAUUUGGAAUGCGGAGCAGUGACAGAGAAACGCCGUAUACGGUUAGGUUAGCCCCGCCCCUAAAGCGUCCCCUGCUUUACGGUCUGCGUGACUCUAAAUGACCACAAUGUACUAAAUGAUGACAUCAUGCUGUAUAGAAGAAGACUUGAAACUAGAGACUGAGACAUAAACUCAUGUUUACAAUGUUUACUGAGGGAAUACAUCAAGAGAGAAGUAGAGUCACUAUAUAGACUUCUAUACAACCAGAGGAGUCGCCCCCUGGUGGUCAGGAGAGAGAAUGCAGAUUUCACAUCGCUUCACUCAGAACUGUGUAACUCUGUAACGUAAGAACAAUAACAUCAGCAAGGUCAUUGUUUGUUAGUUGUUUCAAUAGUUGCGACUCUCGCUGCCACCUUUCCACUUUGGCCUUUGACCUUUGACCUCGCAGUUACGAACAUGGAGGUGGUCGAGGAGCAAAGCUCCACAUCACCGCGCUGCUGAGCGUGUUGCAGGACCUCGGGAAGACCAGAACCAGGACUACAUGGGGCGGACUGUCGCACCAUGCUGCAGUAAAAUGAGAUGUUUUCUCAACACUCUGGCGUUUGGAGCAGUUCAUCUUUUGUCCACAGGGGCCGCCAAAACCCACACGAUGAAAGUUCCUCAUAGUAGCUUUAAUGAAAAAAUAAAGCAAAAGCAAAAAAAGCACCUAGUGCCAUAUUUUGGAUUGGUAAAGAAAGUGCCUUGGUUUCAUCACAACCUUUAUUUUGAAAAGGCAGAGGUCUAUGGAAAGCAUUUGAGUUGGGAAAAAAGAAGUAUAUACCCGCUUUAUUAUGAAAUGUUCUUUUCCACAUAAUUGUAACUUUUGAUUUUUUGAUUGACUUAUUAUUUCGUAAUUAUGGCAAUACUUUGUACAUUCAGAUAUCUCAUAUCCAUUUAUUGAUAUCAAGAUUUCUUUCAUUAUCAUUUGCAAUUAUUUUUGCCCUCAUUAUUAUGAUAAAUUCUCUCAUAAUCAUGAGAAAUGUGAUGACUAAUUGUGAGAAAAUGUAACUUCUUUUCUGGUAAUUAAUGAUGUGACAGUAUCACAUAAUUAUGAGAACACAUUGUCAGUUUCACUCUUAUAAUUAUGAGAUAGUGGCUUUAGUUGUAGGAAAAGUAGACUUAGACUUUAUAAGUCUGAUUUAGUUUCUAAUUAUACAUUUUGGAAUUCUAUUUUGGAAACUAUUAAUGUUAUCUUUGAAUUAUCCAGUAAUUAUGACUUAGUUGUCUGUAUAAUAAUAUUUUAUAAUAGUGAUGUAGUAACUUCUAAUAAUCACUAAACACAGUUAUGGGGAAAUUCUGACAUGCAAAGAAAGAUUAUACUUUAUACAUAAUUAGAUAACUCUGAUGUUUAUCCAAUAGAAUUCAUAAUUCUGGUUAUUUCAAUUUACAUUUACGAGUCUCAUUUUUAAAUAAAUAUUCCUCAGAUUUAGUAAAUGUUUGGCAUCUCUCAUAAUGAAUUAGAAAAAUAAGCAACUAAGCCAUAAUUAUUUAAAAAACUAAAUAUAUUAUAUUGGACGUCACAAUUAGAUUUUGUUUUGUAUUCAUGAGAAACUGUUCAUGACUUAGUUGUUAUUGUUUUUAGGAUAAAAGCCAAACGCAUUGAGCAAAAAAAGAUACAAAUGAAGGAAGAUAAUUUUAUAUUAAUCCAUCAAUAAUAAUCUUCAUAAUAAGUAUACAGGGCUCCUGAGACACGAGGGGUUCUAUACAUGUGGCUCUUCUUCAGAUGGAUUUACAGAAUACUAAAUACGAAUGGUCAAGUGGUCGCUGCCUUGCUCGAGGGUACACACACACACACACACACAUACACACACACACACACGUCUGUGGGAGGAAAUUGUUUACUCCAGAAAAAGACAAUAUUUCAAGCCAAAGGUUUAUUUUCAGGUUUUAUUCACGGAGCUUUCAACACAUUUUAUUAUGAUGUUAUUAUGAUGUUAUUAUUUUGUUAUUUGUGGCUCGAUAGUUGAUUUAAUAAUUUUUGAGAUUCUUUGGCGCCUUCAUUAAAACGGAGAUUGUUACGGAGUUGCCUUUUUCCGAUUCCCUCAAAGGCCGCAUCUGAAUCAGACUAAAGCUAAAUGCUAACAUCAGCAUGCUAACAUAUGCUCUUAACAACUCUUUCUUCCAAUCACCUCCAUCAUACGCUCAUAUUUAGUAACAAUCGUUGUGUUUUCUUUUCCUUUGAAAGAGACCCUUACAUCUACAGAUGAUGUCUUUACAUUUUUCUACGGUAGCCCAGAACGGACAAACCAGACGACGUGUCCAGAGACUCCCAGUUCCACUAAACCAGGAAUAACUCACCUUUGUCGGUGCUUGAGCGCGUACUGUACGUUUGUGUAUCUGGAGUUCUGGAGUUUGAUUUGUGGGCGGUCCAGAUCAGAAAACAUGUGAUUCAACCAGCCAAUCAGAUGAGUCUCCUCCUUCCUGUGUCACAUGCUAGCUCAUUAGAAUACACUGUCUCCGCCCACGGCUGGAGAACUACCUUUGCAAAGGUGUGCCAUAUUUUUGUCUUUUUUUUUUUUUGCAUACAAAAAAUGACUUGUUAACUAACUAGAAACUAGAAUACAAGUAUAACCUAAAAACAAUGGAGACCUGUUUGAAUGCCUCAAGGUGGCGGGAAAAAGAGGGAUAACAACAUCUGGAGAGGACGACAUGUGAAGCGGGACGCUCGCGGCCCACUGGGGUACAACAGGGAACAUCAUCCCUCUACUGAUACACGGUACAUGGUACGACAGGACAAAUAAAGGUUUGGGCUAUAACAUGAA